GAGAUAUUAUUAUAAUUAGUAUAAUUCAUUUUCGAUGAAUAGGUGAUAUAUCUUA
rnacentral:tRNA from 1 species